rnacentral:pre_miRNA from 1 species
AGUGAAAUUGCUGGGUGAUAUGGUAAAUUUGUUUUUUUUAAGAAACUUUCAAAUUGUUUUCCAAAAUGGCAUCAUUUACAUUCCCACCAGCAGU